GACGAACGCUGGCGGCGUGCUUAACACAUGCAAGUCGAACGGAAAGGCCCUGCUUUUGUGGGGUGCUCGAGUGGCGAACGGGUGAGUAACACGUGAGUAACCUGCCCUUGACUUUGGGAUAACUUCAGGAAACUGGGGCUAAUACCGGAUAGGAGCUCCUGCUGCAUGGUGGGGGUUGGAAAGUUUCGGCGGUUGGGGAUGGACUCGCGGCUUAUCAGCUUGUUGGUGGGGUAGUGGCUUACCAAGGCUUUGACGGGUAGCCGGCCUGAGAGGGUGACCGGCCACAUUGGGACUGAGAUACGGCCCAGACUCCUACGGGAGGCAGCAGUGGGGAAUAUUGCACAAUGAGCGGAAGCCUGAUGCAGCAACGCCGCGUGCGGGAUGACGGCCUUCGGGUUGUAAACCGCUUUCGCCUGUGACGAAGCGUGAGUGACGGUAAUGGGUAAAGAAGUACCGGCUAACUACGUG
rnacentral:rRNA from 1 species